GACGAAGGGGGCUAGCGUUGCUCGGAAUCACUGGGCGUAAAGGGUGCGUAGGCGGGUCUUUAAGUCAGGGGUGAAAUCCUGGAGCUCAACUCCAGAACUGCCUUUGAUACUGAAGAUCUUGAGUUCGGGAGAGGUGAGUGGAACUGCGAGUGUAGAGGUGAAAUUCGUAGAUAUUCGCAAGAACACCAGUGGCGAAGGCGGCUCACUGGCUCGGUACUGACGCUGAGGUGCGAAAGCGUGGGGAGCAAACAGG
rnacentral:rRNA from 1 species